rnacentral:lncRNA from 1 species
AAAAAUGGGAACAAAUUCUUGAAUGAAACAGCAAUGGAUUCAAUGUUACAGAUUUCAUACUCCAGAAGUGCGAAGUUGAACGAAACCGCCAUGAUCUUGACAAUAUUUUCCCACUUUGAAAAGAUACUGUCUCAAAGCUUCAUUGACAAAACUGUUAUGUCGGUGUUCAACUUGACUAACACUGGGGGGUGAGCAUUGACCUUAACAGCUGCAUAGCGUGCUGACACACACUGAGCUCUCCGUAAACGAUGGCUGAUGUUCUACUUGGGAUUAGAAGACAGGUGAAUUGUUCUGAGAAGUGAGAAAACAACCCCUCGUGUGACGUUUUGAACUGGUCUCCUUGGGCUAAGCGGAGACUUGCUGGUGGAAAAGUUGGUGAGACGUGGGUGUUUCAGGAUGGCCAGCCCCACUGCCUGAAGACAGCCAGUGUGUAGCUAUAGAAAGAGUGACUGUCCCGGUGUGGGGAGGAGUGAAAGUGAGAGAUCAGAAACAAAGCUUAAGUGUUUUGAAAUUUUCACUGUCUUUGCUCUGAAAGUCGGAUUUCUGGAUUGCUACCCUUUUUUUUUAAAUUCACACACAUGAAAAUAAGGGUGAAAUUAUGUCAAUGGAGACUCUGUGCUGUUCACAUGACACAAGUGAGAAAAUAUCAUCUUUCUUUAAUUUCAUUUCCCUUGAAAAUAGUGGUUUUAAUUAAGUGAGAAAAAAAAAACUUGAAGAACUUCAGCUUCAGGAAACGGAAUUUUUUUUUUUUUUUUAGAAAAUAAAAAUAUACAAAGUAGUUUGGUGAAAUCAAACCAUUACCAGAUUCUUUUUUUUCCCCCUGAAACAGACUUGAUAGUUAAUCUAAUUGGCUAUUAAAUGUAUUCUUCUUAUAAAAUCCAUUAUGC